CUUUUGUUCAUGAGACUCAAGCGCAAGGUGAGUCAUCGAUGUUCCACUUUUCACAUAGAUUUUCUGUGACUGCAUAUUUGUUUUUUAUUUAAACCAAAAAUUACUUUCAGGUUCAUAAUAAUAGUCAUGAAACUGAGUAUUAAAUAUAACAGAAGUGCUUUUAAUGUCACAUCAGAGUUCACCUGCUGAAGUUAAAGUGAGAUGUUUUUACACUGCAGAACUAAAUUCAACGUCUGCGCACAGUGAACCAUCCUCCAUCACCAUACAAACUAUUCUGGAAAGUGAAUCACCAAAGAUCAACAAACCAUCAUCUAUCAUGACCACAGGAGCAGAAUCAAGUCUCAGCAAUCCCAGUACUUCAACUUCUACCACUUCAGUGAACUCACUAUCAGGAUUGGGUGCUCUUAAUCUCAGCGCUACAACUGGUGUGAACACUCCUGCCAAAACAACUCAGUAUAUAACAUCAGGAGACAGAACUACAGAGUUGAAUCUCAGCAGUCCUAAUGCUUCCAGUCCUACCACUUCUGUGAAUUCACCUUCAGAUCCAAAUCAAUCUUCAGAGUCAUAUGAGACUAAUACUAGAGUGACAGUUGCUACGGUCAAAGGUAAGACAAAGUACAGUAAAACAAUAACCAGAAAAGGUCACGUAUUUCAUUUGUUAUUUCAAAAGUAA
rnacentral:lncRNA from 1 species